rnacentral:piRNA from 1 species
UUGAACUGCGUGCACUGUCCAUACANAUCCC